GAUAAACGCUAGCGGCAGGCUUAACACAUGCAAGUCGAGGGGCAGCAUAGAUUGUAGCAAUACAAUUGGUGGCGACCGGCGCACGGGUGCGUAACGCGUAUGCAACCUACCCGUCACAGGGGGAUAAUCCGGAGAAAUCUGGUCUAAUACCCCAUGACAUAUGGAUCGGCAUCGGUUCAUGUUGAAAUUUUCGGAGGUGACGGAUGGGCAUGCGUAGCAUUAGCUUGUUGGUGAGGUAACGGCUCACCAAGGCGACGAUGCUUAGGGGGACUGAGAGGUUUUCCCCCCACACUGGUACUGAGACACGGACCAGACUCCUACGGGAGGCAGCAGUGAGGAAUAUUGGUCAAUGGGCGCAAGCCUGAACCAGCCAUGCCGCGUGCAGGAUGACGGCUCUAUGAGUUGUAAACUGCUUUGUACGAGGGUAAAGUGGGUUACGUGUAACCUUUUGAAAGUAUCGUACGAAUAAGGAUCGGCUAACUCCGUGCCAGCAGCCGCGGUAA
rnacentral:rRNA from 1 species